rnacentral:rRNA from 1 species
CCUACGGGAGGCAGCAGUGGGGAAUAUUGGACAAUGGGGGGAACCCUGAUCCAGCCAUGCCGCGUGUGUGAAGAAGGCCCUCGGGUUGUAAAGCACUUUCAGUGAGGAAGAACGCCUGGUGGUUAAUACCCAUCAGGAAAGACAUCACUCACAGAAGAAGCACCGGCUAACUUCGUGCCAGCAGCCGCGGUAAUACGGAGGGUGCGAGCGUUAAUCGGAAUUACUGGGCGUAAAGCGCGCGUAGGUGGCUUGAUAAGCCGGUUGUGAAAGCCCCGGGCUCAACCUGGGAACGGCAUCCGGAACUGUCAAGCUAGAGUGCAGGAGAGGAAGGUAGAAUUCCCGGUGUAGCGGUGAAAUGCGUAGAGAUCGGGAGGAAUACCAGUGGCGAAGGCGGCCUUCUGGACUGACACUGACACUGAGGUGCGAAAGCGUGGGUAGCAAACAGGAUUAGAUACCCCAGUAGUC